rnacentral:rRNA from 1 species
UACGUAGGGUGCAAGCGUUGUCCGGAAUUAUUGGGCGUAAAGAGCUCGUAGGCGGUUUGUUGCGUCGGCUGUGAAAUCCCGAGGCUCAAUCUCGGGUCUGCAGUCGAUACGAGCAAACUAGAGUGUUGCAGGGGGGACUGGAAUUCCUGGUGUAGCGGUGAAAUGCGCAGAUAUCAGGAGGAACACCGGUGGCGAAGGCGGGUCUCUGGGCAACAACUGACGCUGAGGAGCGAAAGCGUGGGGAGCGAACAGG